AAUCCUUACCUUUUUAUUCAUUUUAGCUCUCUCCAAACAGGUGCUGCGGCUGCAGAAAGAACAGCUCCGGUCGCUGGGUCCUCAUUUGACGCUCCAAAAUCGAGACGAGAAAAUGCAGCUUUGAGAGGGUCCUCAGCACCAGGAAGAAUUCAACUCAACACAAUCGCUGGCUGCUUCCUGCUGUUUCAUCUGCCAAAUGUGGAAACUCCUCAACUAAUUCUCUGUGCUCCAUUAUGAGAAAAUAAAGAUUUAUGACUCAUUAUUUUACCAUUUCCUUUAUACAAUCAUGUUGUGGUUGGGAAAAGUAUAAAGGGGACUAAAACCGGUGUCCGACCCGGCCCGAGCCCGUGCACGUUAUGCCCGGGACCGGACCGGCCCGUCCAAAACUGGAAGUAUGGGCCCGAGCCCGAUUUAAACCCGACAUUUUUCAAUAAGAUGGCUGCCAUAAUUAAGAGUAUUAAACCACUGUUAUUUGAAUGACAGAAAUAUAGGAUCUUAAUGAAUGGCGCAACACGGAAGCAUUUAUUUUAGGAUCCACGUGGCGAAGGGCUGUGCGCGCACAAUGUUCCAACAGGGCACAGCCCUCCAUUCCAAAACACAUUGUUUUUUAUUGAAAAUAUGUUGCUGUCUUCACUUAUUAUGUAGGCCUAUAAUUUCUCCAGCAGCAAACACAUUUAAAGGAGUCUUUUUACGCGCGCUGUCCGUGGUGCUGAAAUCCCCACUGCUGCUGACAGCAGAUCGGGGGAGAGAAAAGACAUUUCUUGCUCUUAUCUGUGCUUUCAGAAAAUAGUCCCACUGUGUUUGCCAGGGGAUAUCAGGCUGUGUGAUUAUGCACAAAGAUUGGUCUAAGCAUUGGAGCAAUUUCAUACAAUUUCGGACAUUUAACAUGAUAAACUAAUUUCAGUUCAACAUGGUCAUUUGCUUAGAGGAUUCAGCUGAAGGAAAAUGAGUGUCAUUAAGACGAAGUAUUUGCUUGUUUUGUGGUUAAAUAAAUGUAUCUCUGUGCAGAGAGGGCUUAAAAUCUUCAUCAGGAGGUCAACAGGAGAUGCAAAUGCAUGAGAGCCCUGAACCAGGAGCGCAGACUUUUCUAUUUUUUCAUUCAAGGUUACAAAUAAUGCUGUCAUAAUUUAUUAUCAAAGUUUCAUUUUCUUAACAAUAAAGAUGCUGUGUUAAUCCAUUGUAGUUCUCUUAUAA